AGCAGCCGCGGUAAUUCCAGCUCCAAUAGCGUAUAUUAAAGUUGUUGCAGUUAAAAAGCUCGUAGUUGAAUUUCGGGAUUUGUCAGUUGGUCGGGCUUCACUGUCCGUACUGACUUGAUGGAUUCUUACCUUCUGAAUAACCAGCAUGCUAUUUAGUUAGUGCGUUGGGGAAGCAGAUCUAUUACCUUGAAAAAAUUAGAGUGCUUAAAGCGGGCUAGUGCUUGAAUAGAUUAGCAUGGAAUAAUAAAAUAGGACGGCAUGGUUCUAUUUUGUUGGUUUCUAGGAUCACCGUAAUGAUUAAUAGGGAUAGUUGGGGGCAUUAGUAUUCAAUUGUCAGAGGUGAAAUUCUUGGAUUUAUUGAAGACUAACUUCUGCGAAAGCAUUUGCCAAGGAUGUUUUCAUUAAUCAAGAACGAAAGUUAGGGGAUCGAAGACGAUCAGAUACCGUCGUAGUCUUAACCAUAAACUAUGCCGACUAGGAAUCGGACGAAGUUAAUUUUAUAAUGACUAG
rnacentral:rRNA from 1 species